CAGAUAUACACCAAUACAAAAACCUCAGAAUAGAAACCUGAGAAAAUAAUCCUUCAGUAUGCAGAGAAAAACUGAUAGAAAACUAUGUUUAUUUGAAGAACAUCAGGUUUUUGUUAAUGAAGUCAUUAGAGAUGUAACACUGUGAUGGUGCUUUUGACUACUGGGGAGAUGGAACUAAGGUUACUGUUGUUCCAGGCGGCCCUGAUGUCCCUCCGACUUUGUCUAUUUUGAGUCCCCUGAAGGAUUCUCGCUACCCCCCGAAGACAGCAGAUGAACUUGGUCCAGAUGUCUGUCUGGUCACAGAUUUCCGUCCGAAGGGGGACGACGUAAAUCUGAAUGUGAAAGGUGGUCAGGUCAACGUCAGCACAGAUAAUGCUGUUCUGUCAAACAACACCUACGUGUUUGUUGCCUACAGCAAUGAAACCAUCCACUCCUGUGACAUGAACGGAAAGUUCAGCAACAACGAAGCUGAUUAUGCAUGUAGAAGCAUUUAUCCAGAAAAAGCCAAGCUGAACUUCUACCUGCUGCUGAUGAACGGAGUCCGGGUGGUUUUCACCAAAGCUCUGGCCUUCAGCACCGUCCUCACUAUCAGAGGUCUGCUCUUCUGAGGAUCAAAAAGAGACAGAUUUCAAAUCUGAGAUUCUUCCUCCAAGAUGUGUUUAUAUUUUGAUAAGAUUUAAAAAUCUUGCAGGCAAACCAACCAAUACAAAGAUAAAUAAAGGCCAAUUCAUGUAAUGAAUUUUUUCACCUCUGUACAGAAAUACAUUUUAUUUGGUUUAUGUAUAUUAUGCAAUUUGUCUCUGAAAAAAUAUAUGGUUCAAUCUUUGAAUUCAGUAAGUUUCAAUUUCAUAUUAAAAAUGUUUGUGUCUCAAUUUACGUAAUAAAAUUUAAUA